GGUAUCUACGAAACAGGUACAGAACAGGCAAUAACAGUGCAGGCUUCCUUACGUUGCUCUCCAGUGGUUCUCAAGUCUUGUUGUGGAGUUAGCAGCUGUUCCAGGUGCC
rnacentral:sRNA from 1 species